GACCUCCAGUAAAUUAUUCUUCAUUUGACAUUGGGACAAGUCGUUUAUCGUGAAGUAACGUUCUUGAUGAAGAGUCGAAACACGUCUUCAGCUCAAGAUCAAUGAGAAACUCAGAGACAGUCCUCAGCUGGGAUCAUAUUAAGAUCAGGUAGAAAGAAACCACCACCACUUUCCAUUGAAUUUAUUUCCUGCCUGUUGUUUGAUUCUGAUUGUGAACUGUUUCCAGGUGCAGUUUGCAUCGGUAAAGUUGCAGGAACACUUUCAGUUGUAGGAUCCGCCCUUUGGCACUGUUGAUUGGAAGCUACUGGCUUCGACAUGUCCCGAAG
rnacentral:lncRNA from 1 species